AUGGUUAAUAUCAGAACACCACUAUCUGAUUUAACUUCAUCAAUCUUUAAUGAAAGAAAUAUGAGUUCACCUUCACCAGCAUCUGCAUCAAGCAACUCAAGUACAAUGAAGAGUUUCAAUAUUGUUUCUACAAAUCAACUGGCUGCUUCAGCACGACAGCGGAAGAAAAGUAUUAUGGAAGGUAAGAUGCCCCAAUCUUACAAACUUCAUAACAACCUUAGCAAUAGCAGUGGGUCCUUUCAGGAUAAAUUCUCCAUCCUUUUUGCAUUUCAAAACACCAUUUUCUGA